rnacentral:rRNA from 1 species
UACGAACCGUGCGAACGUUGUUCGGAAUCACUGGGCAUAAAGGGCGCGUAGGCGGCUUAUCAAGUCAGGGGUGAAAUCCGGCAGCUUAACUGUCGAAGUGCCCUUGAUACUGAUGAGCUCGAGGGGAGAUAGGGGUGUGUGGAACUUCCGGUGGAAGCGGUGAAAUGCGUUGGAUAUCGGAAGGAACGCCGGUGGCGAAAGCGACACACUGGAUCUCUUCUGACGCUGAGGC